rnacentral:rRNA from 1 species
GACGAACGCUGGCGGCGUGCUUAACACAUGCGAGUCGAACGGAGUUAAGGAGCUUGCUUCUUAACUUAGUGGCGAACGGGUGAGUAACGCGUGAGGAGCCUGCCUUUCAGUGGGGGACAACAGUUGGAAACGACUGCUAAUACCGCAUGAUACUAUUGAGUGGCAUCACUUGAUAGUCAAAGAUUUAUUGCUGAAAGAUGAGCUCGCGUCUGAUUAGCUAGUUGGCGGGGUAACGGCCCACCAAGGCGACGAUCAGUAGCCGGACUGAGAGGUUGAACGGCCACAUUGGGACUGAGACACGGCCCAG